rnacentral:lncRNA from 1 species
AUCGGCGUUGGCAGGCACGGAGAUGUCGACGGUGGGCCGCAGCUCAGCGCACACCUCGAUUGCGCCAUGGACGGGGUCGGACAUGAAGUUGCUGAUGAGGUCCUGGUUGAUGGGAGCAUCCUUGUCCACUGUCACGAAUGCUUGCUGGGUCAGGAUGUAGUCGAAGCGUGGCGCCCAUUUCCUUGAUCCCAGACGAGCCGUCGUUGAGCAGUUGUCAACCAUGAAGGCCACUCCACGAGCAUGCAUGAAGGGGUUCAGUGAGUCCACGGACUCGAUGACGCUCUCGUUGAUGAUCUCUGAGUAGGAGUGACCCUUCUUUCUAAGGACCUCGAUCUACAAACAUUGCAAAACAGAUUGGAAAAUUGAGCGCUAUUGAUUCAAGCAUAUACUGUUGUCAGUUGGUUUUGUCACUAUAUGAGAGGUUGACGAGGAAUUAUGGGAAGACUAACCUGAGCCAUCAUCAGUGCAACGUAGACUCCAGCAGUGAAGGGAUGCAGGGGGCCAAGAUCGUUUUCUGGUCGGGUUGACCGCACCUUUUCACCAACCUUCCACAUACGAGUUUGGUCG